rnacentral:rRNA from 1 species
CCUACGGGCGGCAGCAGUGGGGAAUAUUGCACAAUGGGGGAAACCCUGAUGCAGCGACGCCGCGUGAGUGAAGAAGUAUUUCGGUAUGUAAAGCCCUAUCAGUAGGGAAGAAAAUGACGGUACCUGAUUAAGAAGCCCCGGCUAACUACGUGCCAGCAGCCGCGGUAUUACGUAGGGGGCAAGCGUUAUUCGGAUUUACUGGGUGUAAAGGGAGCGUAGGCGGGAGGACAAGUCUGAUGUGAAAUGCCAGGGCUUAACCCCGGAACUGCUUUGGAAACUGUUAUUCUAGAGUACGGGAGAGGUAAGUGGAAUUCCUGGUGUAGCGGUGAAAUGCGUAGAUAUUAGGAGGAACACCAGUGGCGAAGGCGGCUUGCUGGACCAUAACUGACGUUGAGGCUCGAAAGCGUGGGGAGCAAACAGGAUUAGAUACCCUAGUAGUC